GAUGAACGCUGGCGGCGUGCUUAACACAUGCAAGUCGAACGGAAAGGCCCAAGCUUGCUUGGGUACUCGAGUGGCGAACGGGUGAGUAACACGUGGGUAAUCUGCCCUGCACUUCGGGAUAAGCCUGGGAAACUGGGUCUAAUACCGGAUAGGACCACAUUCUGCAUGGUGUGGUGGAAAGUUUUUCGGUGGGGGAUGAAGUCGCGGCUUAUCAGCUUGUUGGUGGGGUAGUGGCUUACAAAGGCGGCGACGGGUGGCCGGCCUGCGGGGGUGACGGGCAAAAUGGGGCUUGGGAAAGGCCCAGACUCCCACGGGGGGGAGGAGGGGGGAAAUAUGGCAAAUGGGGCGAAGCCCGAUGCAGGGACGCCGGGGGGGGGAAGACGGGCUUUGGGGUGGAAACUCCUUUCGCUAGGUACGAAGCGGUAUGUGACGGUACCUGGUGAAGAAGCACCGGCUAACUACGUG
rnacentral:rRNA from 1 species